UAUUGGGCGUAAGCGCGCGCAGGCGGUUCCUUAAGUCUGAUGUGAAAGCCCCCGGCUCAACCGGGGAGGGUCAUUGGAAACUGGGGAACUUGAGUGCAGAAGAGAAGAGUGGAAUUCCACGUGUAGCGGUGAAAUGCGUAGAGAUGUGGAGGAACACCAGUGGCGAAGGCGACUCUUUGGUCUGUAACUGACGCUGAGGCGCGAAAGCGUGGGGAGCAAACAGGAUUAGAUACCCUGGUAGUCCACGCCGUAAACGAUGAGUGCUAAGUGUUAGAGGGCUUCCGCCCUUUAGUGCUGCACCAAACGCAUUAAGCACUCCGCCUGGGGAGUACGGCCGCAAGGCUGACUCUCAAAGGAAUUGACGGGCGCCCGCACACGCGGUGGAGCAUGU
rnacentral:rRNA from 2 species